rnacentral:tRNA from 1 species
GCCGGGGUAGCCAAGCCAGGAUAAGGCGCCAGUCUUGAAAACUGGUGCUCCACGCGAGCUCAUGGGUUCAAAUCCCAUCCCCGGCGCCA